rnacentral:rRNA from 1 species
GCAGUCGAGGGGUAACAUGGGUAGCAAUACCUGAUGACGACCGGCAAACGGGUGCGGAACACGUACGCAACCUUCCCAUAACAGGUGAAUAGCCUUCCGAAAGGGAGAUUAAUACACCGUAAUAUAACGAAGUGGCAUCACUUUGUUAUUAUAGGCUUCGGCCGGUUUUGGAUGGGCGUGCGCCUGAUUAGGUAGUUGGCGGGGUAACGGCCCACCAAGCCUGCGAUCAGUAACUGGUGUGAGAGCACGACCAGUCACACGGGCACUGAGACACGGGCCCGACUCCUACGGGAGGCAGCAGUAAGGAAUAUUGGUCAAUGGACGAAAGUCUGAACCAGCCAUGCCGCGUGAAGGAUUAAGGCCCUCUGGGUUGUAAACUUCUUUUAUCUGGGACGAAAAAAGGGAAUUCUUUCUCACUUGACGGUACCAGAGGAAUAAGCACCGGCUAACUCCGUGCCAGCAGCCGCGGUAAUACGGAGGGUGCAAGCGUUAUCCGGAUUCACUGGGUUUAAAGGGUGCGUAGGUGGGUAGGUAAGUCAGCGGUGAAAUCUCCGGGCUUAACUCGGAAACUGCCAUUGAUACUAUUUAUCUUGAAUAUCCUGGAGGUGAGCGGAAUAUGUCAUGUAGCGGUGAAAUGCUUAGAUAUGACAUAGAACACCAAUUGCGAAGGCAGCUCACUACGGGAUUAUUGACACUGAGGCACGAAAGCGUGGGGAUCAAACAGGAUUAGAUACCCUGGUAGUCCACGCC